UCCCUCGUGGCGCAAUUGGCUAGCGCGUUCGACUGUUAUAUAACAGUUCCAUCGAGAGGUUGGUGGUUCGAGCCCACCCGAGGGAG
rnacentral:tRNA from 1 species